AGGGGCUGGCUAUGCUUGGACUAAGCCACACCCCUUCUCAACUUCCACCUCGAGGAGGUCCCCAAAGCCAACCCAAUGGCCAAACAACACGAGAACAAAUGGGCUAUGGCCGGGAAGAGGUCAGGGAGCAAGGGGGCCACGGGGAUCCGGGGCGUGGGACUCGGGCCCCGGCCUGAGUCUUAGGUAUCCGUAGCGCCCUCCUUCUUCCUCCUCUUCGCUGAAUACAGCUCACGGUAAGUACUGGUUCACACAGUUCGUUCUCGGGGUGCUCACUCUCUUUCUCUUCCUCCACAGGCAACGGCUGGGACACACAGGCACAGUUAGUUCAGCUUGGUUUUGCUCUCACCUCUUCGCUGAUUACAGCUCACAGUAAGUACUGGUUCACACAGUUCGUUCCUUGGGUGCUCACUCGCUUUCUCUUUCUCCACAGGCAGCGGCGUAAGUACAGGUUUCCUCGGUCUCUCCUCGUGUUACCCACUCUCUCUCCUUUUCUCUCCACAGGUAUCAACUUGGGCACAAUAGCACAGUUAGUUUGCUUUGAAUGGCUCUCACCUCUGGGCUGGACACAGCGUACUGUAAGUACAGGGUUCGCUCUAUUCCUCCUCGUGUUAUUCACUCUCUCUCCUUUUCUCUCCACAGGUAUCAACUUGGGCACAAUAGCACAGUUACUCUGCUUUGGAUGGCUUUCACCUCUGGGCUGGACACAGCGUACUGUGCUAUCUCCGGAGAUCUGAAGCACGCUCACAACAUAUACUGUACUGAACUAGGCUAGGACCAGCAGUCUCCUUGUCCUCCCGCGACGAAGUGCGUGAAGGCGGGGGUUUAUCUGACAGGACACACGGCAAUACACAGCAGCCCACAGCAAUAUACAGCACCACGUCAAAAUUAUAGGUUUUCACAGCAUGAAGACUCACCCACCACACUCAGUGUACGAAAAGGACACCCGUCUUCCUUCACUUCGCUUGGUUCGGAUCUGGCGAUG
ensembl:lncRNA